GGGUUCGUAGCUCAGCUGGCUAGAGCGUCUGGUUUACACCCAGAAGGUCGUAGGUUCAAGCCCUACCGAACCCA
rnacentral:tRNA from 1 species